rnacentral:rRNA from 1 species
AACGAACGCUGGCGGCAUGCCUAACACAUGCAAGUCGAACGAGAACUUCGGGUCUUGUGGCGCACGGGUGCGUAACGCGUCGGAAGAGGCACUUGGGUUCGGUAUAACUCCCAGAAAGGGAUACUAAUACCGAAUAAUGUCUUCGGCCCAAUGAUUUAUCGAAUUUGGAUGGGUGAGCGUUGGAUUAGCUAGUUGGUCAGGUAAAAGCCUACCAAGGUGAUGUUACAUAGCUGGUCUGAGAGGAUGACCCGCCACACUGGGACUGGGACACGGCGCGGACUCCUGCGGGAGGCAGCAAUGCGGAAUAUUGGACGAUGGGCGAAAGCCUGAUGCAGUAAGGCCGCGAGAGUGAUGAAGUACUUAAGGUUGUAAAGCUGUGUUACACGGGCAGAUAAUGACGGUACCGGGAGAAUAAGCUACGGCUAACUCCGUG